rnacentral:rRNA from 1 species
GCAGCCGCGGUAAUACAGAGGUCUCAAGCGUUGUUCGGAAUCACUGGGCGUAAAGCGUACGUAGGCGGCUUGGUAAGUCGGGUGUGAAAGGCAGGGGCUCAACCUCUGGACUGCACAUGAUACUGCCAGGCUAGAGUAAUGGAGGGGAAACCGGAAUUCUCGGUGUAGCAGUGAAAUGCGUAGAUAUGUGGAAGAACACCGAUGGCGAAGGCAG